CGGCGUCCCAGGCGGGGCGCUGCGGGACCGCCCUCGUGUCUGUGGCGGUGGGAUCCCGUGGCCGUGUUUUGAUUGUGUCCCGGCC
rnacentral:pre_miRNA from 10 species